rnacentral:rRNA from 1 species
UACGUAGGCAGCAAGCGUUGUUCGGAGUUACUGGGCGUAAAGGGUGCGUAGGUGGCUCUAUAAGUAUGGUGUGAAAUCUCCCGGCUUAACUGGGAGGGUGCGCCGUAGACUGUGGGGCUAGAGUGUGGGAGAGGAAAGUGGAAUUCCUGGUGUAGCGGUGAAAUGCGUAGAUAUCAGGAGGAACACCGGUGGUGUAAACGGCCUUCUGGACCAUAACUGACACUGAGGCACGAAAGCGUGGGUAGCAAACAGG